AGACAAAUGGGGGAAUUACUGAUGAGGAGGCAAAGGCUAAAUAUGAUGAAAUAGUGAAGGAAGAGAGGGAGGUAAUGAAGUUAGAUCAAGAAAUUGAAGAAUUGCAACAGAAAAGGCAGAUCAAAGUGUAUCAUAUAAGAUCUUUGAGAAUAGAAAUGGGAAUGAAUGGUAGAAUAGGGCCACCUAUGCCACCUUCAAAAAAAAGAAGAAUAGGGAAAUGAAUAGACAUUA